UGUUCAAAAUCUCUCAGGUUUUGAAAGUUAUGUGAUGUGUAAAGAAAAUGGUUAGCGUUAAUAUCUUGAAUCGAACUAGGGUUUAUAGGCAAAGAGGAUUGCGGAUCCAAGUAAGGAUGAUGCGUAGCGGAAGAAGAAGCAGCAGCAGCAGCAGCAGCAGCAUUCACGAUCCCACCAACAAAGCCAAUUAAAUUAACACCUUCCUCUUUCACUACACAAACUCCGUUUCCUUUAAAGGCCUCACUAACAUCAGAGAGAGAGUUAUUAGUACAAGCCAGCAAAUCCGAAGGGAGAAGUGCGGGAUCGUAAAGAGGAAGUAACCCUGUACAACCCUGAAGGUCAGGAUGGUUUUG
rnacentral:misc_RNA from 1 species